rnacentral:rRNA from 1 species
AAUGAGCCUGCGAGUUGUGGUGUCUGGCAAGGUUAAGCAAACGCGAAGCCGUAGCGAAAGCGAGUCUGAAUAGGGCGCUUAGUCAGAUGCUGCAGACCCGAAACGAAGUGAUCUAUCCAUGAGCAAGUUGAAGCUAGUGUAAGAACUAGUGGAGGACUGAACCCAUAGGCGUUGAAAAGCCCCGGGAUGACUUGUGGAUAGGGGUGAAAGGCCAAUCAAACUUCGUGAUAGCUGGUUCUCUCCGAAAUAUAUUUAGGUAUAGCGUUGUGUCGUAAUAUAAGGGGGUAGAGCACUGAAUGGGCUAGGGCAUACACCAAUGUACCAAACCCUAUCAAACUCCGAAUACCUUAUAUGUAAUCACAGCAGUCAGGCGGCGAGUGAUAAAAUCCGUCGUCAAGAGGGAAACAACCCAGACUACCAGCUAAGGUCCCUAAGUCUUACUUAAGUGGAAAACGAUGUGAAGUUACUUAAACAACCAGGAGGUUGGCUUAGAAGCAGCCAUCCUUUAAAGAAAGCGUAAUAGCUCACUGGUCUAGUGAUUUUGCGCGGAAAAUAUAACGGGGCUAAAGU